UGGGGAAUUUUGGACAAUGGGCGAAAGCCUGAUCCAGCAAUGCCGCGUGUGUGAAGAAGGCCUUCGGGUUGUAAAGCACUUUUGUCCGGAAAGAAAUGGCUCUGGUUAAUACCUGGGGUCGAUGACGGUACCGGAAGAAUAAGGACCGGCUAACUACGUGCCAGCAGCCGCGGUAAUACGUAGGGUCCAAGCGUUAAUCGGAAUUACUGGGCGUAAAGCGUGCGCAGGCGGUUGUGCAAGACCGAUGUGAGAUCCCCGAGCUUAACUUGGGAAUUGCAUUGGUGACUGCACGGCUAGAGUGUGUCAGAGGGGGGUAGAAUUCCACGUGUAGCAGUGAAAUGCGUAGAGAUGUGGAGGAAUACCGAUGGCGAAGGCAGCCCCCUGGGAUAACACUGACGCUCAUGCACGAAAGCGUGGGGAGCAAACAGG
rnacentral:rRNA from 1 species